UACAGAGACUGCGAGCGUUAUUCGGAUUCACUGGGCGUAAAGGGUGCGCAGGCGGCCGGGUGUGUCAGAUGUGAAAUCCCGAGGCUUAACCUCGGAACUGCGUCUGAAACUACUCGGCUAGAGUAUUGGAGAGGGUAGCGGAAUUCACGGUGUAGCAGUGAAAUGCGUAGAUAUCGUGAGGAACACCAGAGGCGAAGGCGGCUACCUGGACAAUUACUGACGCUCAGGCACGAAAGCGUGGGGAGCAAAAGGG
rnacentral:rRNA from 1 species